GUCUGAUGGAGCAACGCCGCGUGAGUGAAGAAGGGUUUCGGCUCGUAAAACUCUGUUGUUAAAGAAGAACAUAUCUGAGAGUAACUGUUCAGGUAUUGACGGUAUUUAACCAGAAAGCCACGGCUAACUACGUGCCAGCAGCCGCGGUAAUACGUAGGUGGCAAGCGUUGUCCGGAUUUAUUGGGCGUAAAGCGAGCGCAGGCGGUUUUUUAAGUCUGAUGUGAAAGCCUUCGGCUCAACCGAAGAAGUGCAUCGGAAACUGGGAAACUUGAGUGCAGAAGAGGACAGUGGAACUCCAUGUGUAGCGGUGAAAUGCGUAGAUAUAUGGAAGAACACCAGUGGCGAAGGCGGCUGUCUGGUCUGUAACUGACGCUGAGGCUCGAAAGUAUGGGUAGCAAACAGGAUUAGAUACCCUGGUAG
rnacentral:rRNA from 1 species